rnacentral:rRNA from 1 species
GAGUUUGAUCAUGGCUCAGGACGAACGCUGGCGGCGUGCUUUAGGCAUGCAAGUCGAACGCGAAAGCCCCUUCGGGGGUGAGUAGAGUGGCGAACGGGUGAGUAACACGUGGGUAACCUGCCCCUCGCAGGGGGAUAACCGGGGGAAACCCCGGCUAAUACCCCGUACGCUUGCCGGGGCGCAUGCUCCGGCAAGGAAAGGUAGCUUCGGCCAUCCGGCGAGGGAGGGGCCCGCGGCCCAUUAGCUAGUUGGUGGGGUAACGGCCCACCAAGGCGACGAUGGGUAGCUGGCGUGAGAGCGCGACCAGCCACACUGGGACUGAGACACGGCCCAGACUCCUACGGGAGGCAGCAGCCAGGAAUCUUGCGCAAUGGGCGAAAGCCUGACGCAGCAACGCCGCGUGGGCGAUGAAGGCCUUCGGGUCGUAAAGCCCUGUUGUCGGGGACGAAGGGCGAAGGGUUAAUAGCCCCUAGCCUGACGGUACCCGACGAGGAAGCCCCGGCUAACUACGUGCCAGCAGCCGCGGUAA